UGUUGGUCCCCUCGCAAUGAAUAUCUGCGAACUCCGCCAGGCCCGGAAGGGAGCAACGGUAGCAGUGACUUCAUGUGCCGAGGUGUGGCUGAUAAGG
rnacentral:SRP_RNA from 1 species